rfam:Nematostella vectensis strain CH2 x CH6 NEMVEscaffold_8823_Cont55100, whole genome shotgun sequence.
ACCAGGAUGGCCGAGUGGUUAAGGCGUUGGACUUAAGUUCAAAUGUACGGAUGUACGCGUGGGUUCGAACCCCACUCCUGGUA